UACGUAGGGGGCAAGCGUUGUCCGGAAUUACUGGGCGUAAAGCGUGCGUAGGCGGUUUGUUAAGUCCGUUGUGAAAGCCCUGGGCUCAACCUGGGAAUUGCAGUGGAUACUGGCGAGCUAGAGUGCGGUAGAGGAUGGUGGAAUUCCCGGUGUAGCGGUGAAAUGCGUAGAGAUCGGGAGGAACACCCGUGGCGAAGGCGGCCAUCUGGACCAGCACUGACGCUGAGGCACGAAAGCGUGGGGAGCAAACAGG
rnacentral:rRNA from 1 species